AAAUUGAAGAGUUUGAUCAUGGCUCAGAUUGAACGCUGGCGGCAGGCCUAACACAUGCAAGUCGAACGGUAACAGGAAGCAGCUUGCUGCUUCGCUGACGAGUGGCGGACGGGUGAGUAAUGUCUGGGAAACUGCCUGAUGGAGGGGGAUAACUACUGGAAACGGUGGCUAAUACCGCAUAACGUCGCAAGACCAAAGAGGGGGACCUUCGGGCCUCUUGCCAUCAGAUGUGCCCAGAUGGGAUUAGCUUGUUGGUGAGGUAACGGCUCACCAAGGCGACGAUCCCUAGCUGGUCUGAGAGGAU
rnacentral:rRNA from 2 species